CUGAAUGUGUUCUCUGCGUGUGUUUUUUCAUAGGGAAACCAUGCUAACGUGUCAUUGCAUAACGAGGUCGUGGACAUGUUUGUGGACGAUCUACAUGAGAGAAAUUUAUAUGUAUGUGCCAGGAUCAGUGUGAAGCCCCCUGAGGUAAUACCGAGGGCGGUUUAGCUUUAUUUGCGGUUAUAUAUGCCUAUGAGCUGCAGAAACCAUCAUGUCCUGUAAAUUGUUUCUAUGCCAUGCUAAUUACUUAUCAUCCAAUUCUUGAGGGUACUCAACUUUUAUUUCAGACCUAGAUUCAAUCAGUCAUCCAUUGGCAUUUCAGUUGUGUGAAACAGUUUUCAUGCACCUAUAUGUUUUUCAACAUCUCAACAUAUAGAAGAGGCCUGAUGGGAAUUAUCCAUGUGCCUCCACACGCUUUGUAUUGCAUAAUUUCGUUAGCUUCUAUAGAUGGUCUCGUGCAUAAAACACUACCACACCAACACCUGAGUAAUUGUAUUGGUUUUUGCUCAAGUAUCAUAAUGCAAUUUUGUCUUUGAUUGUAAACCCUGGUUUGGUAUUUUUAGUUGCACGUUUCAGUGAAAGAAAGAAAAAACAGUGUCAAAGUAGAAUAUAUAAACUAGAAAGAUUAGCAGCCAUGUCUCAGUAUAAUUUUCAUGCAUAGUAGUCUGGCAUUUCAUGUACAUAAAUAGAGGACCGCACUACAUAACCCGUUUUAUCUGCAGUGAUAAACAAACGCUAUCACUGAGAGCAUUUUUCUUGUGGAAGUUCUCAUUUGAGCUGACAUGUUUCCUGAUGCAAACUCAUUCAGCCACGUAUAGCCUUCACAGUACAUCAUUUGGUUGAUCUUUAGUUCUUGGGUUCUGCAGAUGCAAAAUGGAGCCGGCGACCAGCCCUUCUUCCUCGCCCUCAGCCUUGACACCACCGUUGACGCCUCCAAGAGCAGUCGGGCAUC
rnacentral:lncRNA from 1 species